rnacentral:rRNA from 1 species
UGCAGUCGUACGCUUCUUUUUCCACCGGAGCUUGCUCCACCGGAAAAAGAAGAGUGGCGAACGGGUGAGUAACACGUGGGUAACCUGCCCAUCAGAAGGGGAUAACACUUGGAAACAGGUGCUAAUACCGUAUAACAAUCGAAACCGCAUGGUUUUGAUUUGAAAGGCGCUUUCGGGUGUCGCUGAUGGAUGGACCCGCGGUGCAUUAGCUAGUUGGUGAGGUAACGGCUCACCAAGGCCACGAUGCAUAGCCGACCUGAGAGGGUGAUCGGCCACAUUGGGACUGAGACACGGCCCAAACUCCUACGGGAGGCAGCAGUAGGGAAUCUUCGGCAAUGGACGAAAGUCUGACCGAGCAACGCCGCGUGAGUGAAGAAGGUUUUCGGAUCGUAAAACUCUGUUGUUAGAGAAGAACAAGGAUGAGAGUAACUGUUCAUCCCUUGACGGUAUCUAACCAGAAAGCCACGGCUAACUACGUGCCACACCGGU